CCAUGUGGAGAGAGGAGCCAUGAGAUGAAAAAAAUUGAGAGGAGUUGGAGGAAAUAUGACAGUGAAUAUCGGAACAAGUACCAAAUAAGCAACAAGUCACCAGAUUGGAAGAUAUGUACAAGUCCACAUGCUCUCCAGAGAGAUUCAUUCAACUGUGGAAUAUAUUGCCUUGUGUUUGCAGAGAAGCAUUUAAAUGGACACUUGCAUGAUCUACAAAGUAAUAACUAAAAAAGAUCUACAAAUCAUGAGGAGAAAAGUAGCUUUAGAGUUGAUGCUUUACAAAGUUAACUUGACAGGAUGUUGCCCAAAAUGUGCUAAAAAAAUUGAAAAUGAGGAAAAG